GCUGCUGGGGGCAGUGACGUCACAGAGCCUCUCGCCAGCGCAACGUUCUAUUGAGGCGAGCGCGGAGCGCGUGCUCCUGCGAGCACAUGGGCAGCAGGCUGAGCUUCUUGCUGCAAAAGCGGCCGCGUUCGGAAGCCCCUUUUGUACCCCUCUGGAAUGGAUUUUAUGGUGGGAAACAGCCUGAAAUUGCCAGUCCCAGGCCCGAUCUCUUGACCAGUUUGGAAUAAGCAAUGGACCAGCGCAGCAACUUGUUCCCUCCAAAACAUUCAAGGAUUUCCAGGACCACAGGAUUUACAGAACCACUGAAAUCUCUGGAGAAUGUCAACUGUGGAUGAACCUGAUGGGGAAAAAUAAAUGUAGCCAUUCUGCCAGCCCCUGCCAUCCCUGGUUUUUCUUUUGUUACUGAAGGUGAAUUGGGAAGGAAACUCCUCUGGUCUCUGAGGAUAUUUCAUCGAUGGUUUGCCAUCUUUACUGGAAUUGCUUCAGUUACUAGUUUUUACAAAGAGGAGAAACAAUGCGUGUUCCAUCAGUGGAGAUGUUUAUUUUUCACAGCAGUUCAAGUGCAGCAUCUCUGUGUUUAGCAGCCUGUAGUAAAACCAGGAAAAUCUCUAUAUGAGUUGAUGUAUCUCCUGGAAGACCUCUGCAUGCCCCCAGGGGUACGCGUACCCCUGGUUAAGAACCACAGACAUGGGGUAAUCUGGAAAACUUUGUUGGCUUGGUUCAGCCCCACUAGGAGACUGCAGCAAAUCCUAAAGGGACACGGAUGCUACAUUUCCAGAAGCCUUCUGCAUAGAAUUUCAUGGUUCAUGCAUUUCAGGGUCUUUCUGCAAAAGAUUUCAGCCAAAGAGAGAAAAAAGAAAAUGAAAGUUGCUGAGCUACUGUGUUGGAUUCUUUCCUGGGCUGUUUCCCAGUCAGCCAGGUACACUGACCUUGGAUCAGCUUUCCAUCAGGUUGUCAGUGACGGUGAUGGCGAAGUGGGUGCAUGCUCUGAAUUGGCUUGUUUCAUCGUUGGCUGUGAAGCUAUUCUGGACUCUCAAGGCACACACAAAUAGGCUUUUGGAAGGCGGGUGGUUUUUAAUUCUAUAUCCCAAGGAUAAUCACAGAUGAAGAAAAGAUGGUCUUGGGUACUUGGCCAUACCAGAUGGAGCGCUUGCUGCUGUUGGGAGCAAUCAAAAGAAGGAAGAGACUGGAAUUUCUCUCACUUUAGGAGAGAUGGAACAUACCAAGAGAAACGGAAUGCUUCAGGAAUGACACUGCAGGUGGAAAACUUGCUAGUUAUGUGGCAAAGAGGCCCCCUGGGGAUGAGGGCGACCCAUUACAUGAGGAUCUGCAGUUUCAGGGUUCCAGCUGCUGGGAAUUCUUGGAGGACUUGCAUCAGAUGCUGAUGCCCAAGGGACAGUGAGCAAGGCAUUGGGAAUAAUGGAGGCUUUUAAUGUACUGCAAUAUAUUGCUUCAAUGAGGAGAGGAUUUUUGCCACAUUAUACAGCAGUGAAACCCGUUCCACCACUGACAGCCAAAAAAAGUCUCACCUUUUUUCCGAGACAGCCAGUACCUCCAGCUCAAAUUUUUGUAUGCAAAUUAAGGUAGCAGCAGCAGAAACAGUCAUAUGGAGAACCAAAGACCAUUUGGGACAUUCCUUUCUAGCACUAACUGGAGCAUGGUUCAGAUAACUAUUUUUGUCUUCUGUCCUACACUCGGGACUUGUAUUCUGUCUCUUUGAGCAAUUCUCAGAACCUUUUUAUCUAUGAUUUAUGGUACUUAUUAUUCCUCAUGCAACUCCAUGGCAAAGGAAACCCAUGAUGAAGAAUCUAAAAUGUUGGAAAUUCCAAUUAAUGGCUCUUCUGUGGCAACCUGGGGAGCUCCUUGCCAGAUGAUGAUGUGAAGGCCAAGACUAUAACAAGGUUCAAAAAAGAACUAGAUAAAUUCAUGGAGGACAGGUCCAUCAAUGGCUAUUAGCCAGGAUGGGCAGGGAUGGUGUUCCUAGCCUCUUUUUCCAAAAGCUGGGAACGGGAGACGGGAUGGAUCACUUGAUGAUUACCUGUUCUGUUCAUUCACCUCUGGGGCACCUGGCAUUGGCCACUGUCGGGAAGCCAGGAUACUGGGUUAGAUGAACCUUUGGUCUGACCCAGUGUGUCCGUUCUUCUGUUCUAAAACAUCUCCCCAGGAUUGCUGUGGUGCUAGGCCUGAGCCUCAAAGUGCAAAUAGUCAUCUCUCUCUAGUGAAGAUUUAAGCCAAGAAGAACUGGAAGGAGAAGAGGCAGGAGAAAAAGAAGCCAUCUAAGGAAAGCUAUGACCAGGGGCCAGGUGGCAGCAGGAUGCUGAGGCACCCUUUCCAUAUGAAGUUCCAUUGAAUUCAGUGGGAGUUUGAUUUGGCUGUCAUGGAGUAGCUCAAGCGGUGUCACUCCCACCUUUCCUUUUGGACCCCUAGAGCUCGUCUCCUCAGAGUGGCAGUUGAACUAAAAGUGUGGCCUUAAUCCUGUGUAGUUAAACCAGUGCAAACUCUCUCUCUUGUGUUGGAGUGGUUUAGUUUAAGGUGGUGAGGAGCAAGUAUAACCUGAGCUACAAGACGACACUCUUCCAUUGAAAUAUGAGAGAGUGCCCAUGUAAGGGUUUUCCUGGGUUUAACUAAGCCAGUGCAAGUUUGUGGGGAGACAAGGCCUAAUACAUUCAGCGUCUUCCUUCCAUUCCUUUUGUGAAACUCUUGCAGCAAACCAGUCGAUCCAAGGCUGUCUGUAGUGUCUUUUCCCCGCCAACAUUUCACCCACUGCAGGGCUGGAUGGGAGUGCCAACCUGGACCAGCCACUGGCUUAUCAACCACCAGGUCAUCUAAUGCUGCUCCGAGCAAGACUAGACCAAGUGGUGUCUAAAAUGCUGGUAGCCAUGAGAGCCCUGCCUACAAACCGGCACCCAUCAUUGCUGCCAAUGGUGGCACUGUGCUCAUGGUAGCAACAGUGGGAAAUUUUGGGGCAAAAAGACUGGCUUGGGCAAGGCCAAAGGAUAACACAGGACAUGGCAGGAUAAUAUCAGGACUCCAAGACUUAGAGAAUGUUCUAAUGAGUAUCGAAAGAUAUACUGUACUCUGGGUAUGGCCCAUUCACACUGUGGUUGCUCUGGCAAAAUUUGAUAGUUGUUUUUUUAGUGUAGAAUUAUCAGUCAGAGUGGGGUAGGUAGGGCAGCAAGCCUGUUAGGGCUUUUAUCUUCCCAGAACCUGGGAACAAAGACCACGGGAGAGGAAACUGGGUUGGCCAGUUGUGGGGGGGUUGUGCAUUUAUCGGUCUGGGAGUUCAAAGGAAAAGGAUGCAACAGUCAAAUACACAAAUGUAUCUGGGGGUCGACUGAUAAGUUGCAUUUCAAAGCAAAAGACAAUCUUAAAGGGACAGUGCCGAGUAGCUGAGGCCUAGAAUGUCAGUUUUUGUUUUAAAAAAAAAAAAAGAGAGGAUUUCACAAAAACUAAUAUGAACAGAAAUGGUUUCCCUGUGGUUUGACACAUUCCAGACAUGCCAUGACUGUUCCUGUCAAGGAUGAGCAGUCUCUGGUUUUUGUGGUGUAUUUCUUAGUUUCAAGCUAGUUCUCUUUAUCCACAGUCUUUCAGUGGAGCUAACUGGUCCCUGCUUUUCCACUCCAAAUGAUGCUCGUGCUGGUGCCAAAUGACGUGACGGGAAUAUUGUGCUGGAUCAUGGAAAACAGAAAAUGAAAGCCAGUUUCACUGUCCCAGCUGAACGAAAUAGCAGAAACCAAACAGCUUUAAAUGGGGAAAAGUGAGAGCUACAAAAUUAUUCCUGUGUCAGUAAUGGAAGAGGUGUUACGAUUAUAUGCCUAGCGGGUGGAAUUCUACCUUAAUGCACAGCGCUUGGUUCCCCAUUGUCUUGGACUCUGUACUGUCCCGGACACUCAUUUUGCAUGGGGGUGAAUGACUGUUCUGGGUGAAGAAUGUGACCCACAUUGAGAUUUUAACUCUUGGUGGUGCUGUAACUCUUGGUUUCUCAGAGGCUUCAAAGACAUGGUGUCUUAGGCUUUGUUUACGCUCAAAAAGUGGUGCUGGUUUUACUAUCCCAGUAUGAACUAUUAAUCCCUGUAGUGUGGUUGCAGUUAUAAUGGCAUCCGGCACCUUUAUACAGCUAUAACACUAUCCAUGCUAGGAGUUGUACUAUAACAAAUUGCUUAAAAAUAAAUCCCACCCCUCACUGACAUAGUUAUAUCUGUUCAAAAACUCGGUGUAGACUUGGCUUGAGUGAAGUACUCAUCCAGAGCUUUGGCUGGGACAAUUUGCCUGGCCCCUGAAGCAGGGCUCUUGCAGAAGAGUCCGUAGAACUAACAGCCUGUCUACACGCACAAGUUACACUGGUUUAACUUAAAUCUGUUUAAAAACCAAUUGAGUAAAACUGGCGCAACUCCCGGCAUUGACACGCUUAUGUUAGCUUCAGAUGGGUUCUAUCAGGUUAGCUUGCAUUUAGCCAGGUUUAAAUAAACUUAGGAGUGUCCCCACGUAAAGUUGCACCUGUUUAAAAUCAUAUCUGUAAUUACAUGGGUGCAACUUUGUGUGUAAACCAGGCCUAAUAGACCUUGUUGUCUGGUGCAAGUAGGAAAGAGGUACUAUGUGGGUGUCUGUCCCACAGGCUGGGGUAACCUAUCUUAUAUGGCCUCCAUCACGUAUUUGUAUUUGAGUACCUCACAAAGCUUCUAUGAGGUGGGGAAGUGCUAGUGUCUCCAUUUUACAGAUGGAAAGACUGAGGCUUGUCCAAGGUCACACAGGAAGUCUGUGGUGGAGCAGGGAACUGAAGCUGAGACUCCCAAGUCCACUGGACUAUCCUUCCCUUCCAAAGAGUAUGAUGGAGUACAUAGAACUUCUUUGUGUCUCAGACUAGUAAUUGUCUUCCCAAUUUCCUCUCCACGAUGAAGUCUGUCUAAGCCCUAGCAGUGAGUUCAGACACACAUUGUGGGGUGGGAAAUGGAGGGCUAAGGAGUGUCUGCCUGAAAGCAGCAAUAAAAGAAAUGUUCUGUAGGAGUUAACUCUCUGGUUUCUUUUUAUUUUAUUAAACAUGACUAUGGCUUCACAUGCUCAAAAAAGGGCAACGCAAGGAAGAGACAUUAACCCAUGGAAACUUGAAUUCCCACCCCACCCCACGAGAUGAUGAGGCCUGUGGGUGCAGCAACAUAGAGAUGGGGGAAUUUGCUCUGCACUUGCCCCGGCUGUAGGUCUGUGGAUGGAGAGAACUUUGACCAUCAGUUUAAAAAGUUUUAAAGAGAAAAGAAAUCACAUCCGUUGGAUGCUCAACAUACAUUUUGAUCACAUCAGGGAGCUUAAUCUUUCAGCCUCAUAUAGACACUCACCACAUUGGGUUUGUUUUCAAGUGGCUGUGAUUGGAUUUGCCAUUAAAGACCCCAGCGCUGAUGAGGCAUGCAGGUCUUUCCCUUUCUAAGAAGCAAAAGGCCGGAUGGGCAUGGGCUGUGGAGAGUUUUGGUUUUUUUUCUACUCAGCACAGCUUAUGAAGAAUGGUUUUGAAGUGGGUGUUUUCGCCUUUCAAGGUCUCUAUGCUGGACGUGUUUAUCAGUGUGGAACUGUCAUACUUCGUAAAAGCACUAGAAAAGGCUUUUAAUAUUAUAACUAUAUAUGUGGUUGCUGUUUGCAGAGUUGUUGUUUCAAACCAAGAUAAUCUCUCCAGAGUUUUAUCUACUACGGCAAAACAAGUGAACCUUGAAUUGCAUUUUACUGUCAGAUUUCAAUUGUAUGGAUAUAACAAAAGGUUACUUGGAGAUACUCUGUUAUCUUUGUAUUGACAUGUCCUUGUCUGAUACUUGUUGCUUGAAAAUCUCCAUUCUCUCUCUGUGUGUUUUCUAAAAGAGUAAAAAUAGAUAGAGUGCCUGUAUGGACAGAGGAAGCAUAAGUGCAAGUUGCACACCAAAAAAAUAAAAAUAAAAAAAAAGGAUACUGGAAACCAAUGAAAUAACCAGAAGUUUUUACAGAACAGGAAAUAAUUGGCACCUUGUUCAAUCAUUUGAAGUCUUUAAAUCAAGAUUGGAGACUGUUCUAACAGCAGUUUCUGCUUCAGCCACAGAGUACUGGGAUCAGUGAAGGAAUUCUGUGACUUCUAUCGUGCAAGAGGUCAGACGAGGUGAUCUUAAUGGUCUGAAAAUCUACGAUUCAUAUUCUGAGCAUGGUCAAAUUUUGGAGCUUCCAGAGAGGUUUGCCUUGGAGGGAUGGGGCCCAGAAAACUAGUCCACUCUGUUCUGUCUUCCAUUCUUGAUACCCCCAAAUGAACUGGGGCCUUUGGAUUGUCUUGCUGGCUAGGGCGCAGUGAAAAUCAGGCCUGUUAUGUAAAUUUCAGUAUUGAUAGCUAAAAGCAAAUUCCACCUUGAUUUUUAGGGGCCUCCCAUGACCACAGGAAUUGUAGCUGCCUAAUGCCAGCCAUGAUUCCAAACAAAUCUAAGGAUCAGCUGAUGGCCACAGUGUAACCAACAACUGUGUCUGCUUUUCUCCCUGUGGGAACUGAAUGCUGUGUUGUUGCAGUAUAGCAAAGAGGGGAGACAGGCUUAUAAGCAAGCAAAUAUACCCUUGUUACUGGCCACAAAUUCCACACCCAGACUGCCAAACCCAGAGCCACAGGAAGCUAGAAAGGCAAGGGAGAGAGGCUUUAGUUACUUGCCUGUAUAAAAACUCCCUGAGCAAAACAAACUCCAUUGCCACAGAGUGGCUUGUGGCAAUAGGAAAAUUCAAGAAAGUCCAGAGCAAUGGAGUAAUUUUUCAGAGAAUAAAACUAAAACUGAUGUGUCUGCCUACCCUUUGCUCUGGCUUUCUGUGCAGCCAAAAGUAAAAACGAAGGUCACAAGUAGAGCCAUGCACAGAAAUGAGCUCUGUCUAAUCACAGCUCCUGAUCCUUUGCAUGUGCACCUAAUGACCUGGAAAACGACACCCACCCCCAUCCUUUGCCAUGCUACCAGUUCAACCAGUGAUCUUGAGUCCUGUGCCCCACUGAGUUAAUAGACCCAACCCUCUGGAAUUAGAAUAUGCAUCGUGGGGCUUGCCCACACUGCAACUUUUAAAUUACUCUUGAGGCCCUGUUUACAUGAGGAAAAGAGGUGUGUUUUUAACAAGUUAGCUGUGUUCCAGUCCUAGUGUAGUUUUAACGUGUGAGCAGAUCAAGGUAAACACUAGCCUGAGGUGAACAGUUUUGCCAGCUGUGACAGGGCAAGGUCCAGCUCCUGUCUUCUGCUCUCUCUACACAGACUGUUCGGAGACCGUCUGUUGUUAAACACCACGGCAUAGUUUAUUUACAUUGCUCUGCUCCCCACCCUCAACCAGGCAUACACCACACCAUUUACAGCCUCAGUUUCUCCUAUGCCGAGGAGAGGGAAGAGAUCUCUUCACCCAGGGAUCCUUCUUGCUUCUGGCUCCAUUAGCGUCUCCACUACGUCCUUCCUGUGCUGCCUUCUACCCUCUCGUUAAUGGGCUAGGUCUUUAGUCCACCUUAGCCUACUCUGCUCUGCUAAUUAAGGCACAGUCAGGUCCACCCGGGGAGGUGGGGGGCAAUGGAUUGGUGUUUAUGUGAUCAGGCUGCUUUUUCAGUUGCUUUUUCCCAGCUCUCUGUCACACCAACUCUGGUGAUUUUUAUCACAAGUCUCACAAUAUUUGUUGUCCUUUUUAAAGCCCCAGCUCUUGGAGUCAGCUGAUUAUAUGAGAAUCUCGGAUUUCACUUAAAAAAUCCCCAAAGCAUUUUUAGUCCUCAUGGUCACAGAGAAAAUCUAGUUAUUCUAAAAGCCACCAUAAGAGAAAGCCAGUAAAAACAAUCCAAUUUUUUUAAAAUCCCAUGAUCUCGUGAUUUUUGCGGAGGCUGACUCAUCACUUGGGAUUGGCAAUACUGGGUUAAUAUCUGUUAGCGUACAGUGAAACCCACCGCACAAAACACCUCUUUUUGGCAACCCCAUUUCUUCAUUGAACACUUUCAGGUAACCGUAAAGUGUCUAGUAAAAUGUUGUUUGAUCUUCAGUUAAAAUCCAACCUCUACUGCAGAAACUGAUUUUGCUGUUCCUUAAAGUUUUCACUAGUUGGAUGGAGGACUGAGAGUAGUUUAAUGUUUCCCUACUACAACAGUAAGCUUGGCUAUCAAAGAAGGACAGGCUCUUUUAGGAAGGUGACACAUAUGUUUCUUUUUUAAACCUCUGGAUAGUGAAUAGCUGACUAGUUGGGUAUCAGAUACACAUUGAAAUUAUCAUACCAAAUACUCAAUGAAUCUUUCAGUAAAAAUGGGAGUUGAUUCCUGAAUAAGUUGCUUCGUGGCAUUACUGAGUGAAGCUCGGACUCUUGCUGCAACUUGCAAACAGAUAAAAUUGUUGUUUGUUAGGUAAUCAAUUGAAAAGCAAAGUUAUGCAAUUCUAAGUGACAUAAGUAGGGUAACUGACUUGGUGAGAAACACCCAGAUAACGAAUAUGUCUCAUUCCCACAGAGAUUCAAAAUGGAGUUUGCACCAGAGACCAAGGUUAACAGAUGGUAAACCUGGCUGGGCAUUCUUUGAACACACAGGGCCGGACUCUCAUUUACACUCUGGUCCCUUUACACCACUCUGACAGUGUAAAAAGGCCUUAAAAGUGUGAAAAUAUAAUUACAGCAGAGCAGUGGAAAGGGGCCUUAGUGUAAACAGAGAAUCAGGCACAAAGUGUAUCGGGCAGUUGCCUUGGCUUGGGAAGAAGUGACUGUCAAAUGGCUGUGUGGGAAUCGUACCUUCUUUUUGGAGUAGGGAUCAGUGAGAAUUCCAAUUUGCUCCAAGCCAGGCUGGAUUCGUGUGUGAACCUGAUGUGUUCCAUGAUUCGUGACAUCUCUAAUUUUCCUGCACUGACACCUACUUCUUUAACUGCCAUGGUGAGUCAGGAACUAUUAGAACAAACCACCUAAUAAAAACCCUUCUAGUGCUUUCCAGGUUCAAAAGAAUGCAGAAACAUUAAUCAGUUCUCACAAUCUGAGUAUUCCCCAGCGGUCUCCUAUCAGAAUACUGACACAGUUCCUGAGAUCUCAAGGCAUUGCAACACAAGGUUGUCCAGCGGCUGUCUGAAGAAAUUACAGAGGAAAAUGAUCUCAAUAGGGAAAAGGAAACACUGUGGUAAAGCUGAUGUACUGUGAAAUCCUCUUUAACGGUCGAUGUAGGUAACCCACUUAAAUGUGAAUGGUCGUCACAGCCAGAGUAAUCUGACAAUGAACUUCCUAUCUGAGGGACGUGCAUAGGAGCGAAAUCUCCAUCUUGCUAAGCAUUUUAAUAACCUAAUAGGUCUGUUGGGUUAUAAAUGGCUUUAAUUGGCUCUCAUGUUGCAACAUUCUUUACCUGAAGCCAGGUGACGUUCAAAAAGACGCAACGUUCUUUCUUACCUUUUGGAAACCUCAGGGAAAUUGAAUAUGAUCCUAUCUGCUUCCAUUGGUCUGUAGGAGCCAGGGGCAGCACCAGCUGGGAAUUCCUUUCACAAACUCAUUUUUGAUCCAUGUAUUUGGUUGAAUUAUUGCUAUGAGCUUGAUCCGUGCGCGACUGACUCCCCAUCAUACGCACGUGUGUCCCUGACACCCACCACCUCAGCUUUGUCUAGGUCAGGAAAACUGUGUAAAUGCUUCUCAUUGUUACUAACAACCAUUCGGCUCCAGGGGCGCUAGUGACAUUGGGAGCCCAGCGCGUGGUGGGUCUAAUCAACACAGUGCUUAAAACACCAGCAGCAGCCUGUCUACACUGCGCCUCCAGACACUGCUAAAAUCAAUGGAGCUGAAGCGCUGCUCGUAAUGGUGGGAAUCUUUGGCGAAACUCUCCCAGUGUAGACAAGGUUUAAAUCAUGUAAACUGGUUGUGAUGAAACCCAGAAGAAAAUUUCACAUAAAUUUUUGUUCUCUUCUAUGUUUCCUCCAUCCUAGGCCUCCCAUAGAAUCAGGUUCUGUCCUGAGACUAAGUAAAAGAAAUUAAAGGCUAGAUUCUCAGCUGAUGUAAAUUAGUGUUGCUCUAUUGACUACACCAAUUUAACACCAGCUGAAGAUCUGGUCCAAAGUCUUCUGAUUCUCCCUACAGUGCAUAACAUCAGUGAGAGUGAAUAUGUAGUGUAGUGGUAGAAAGUGGCAUUCCAUUGACUGGAUAACAAAUGUCUACUUCAUGCGAAUCCUUUGACAAACCAGCCAGAUAGGCAUGAGUAAACCAGAUUUUGCAGCGUGGUUGCCACUACAUCCUUCUUGGUAGCCCCUUUUUAAAGUAAAGACUCUUAAUGAAUGAGCUCACCAUUUAUUUAUUUAUUUAUUUAAAAGCCCAUUCAAACAGCCAGCUAACAGACUACAUCUAUAAUAGCUAAGGUUGGCAUUAGCACUGAGCUGAACCUGCGCACAUAGGCCAUAUAUAACACUCGCUGGGAGUUGAUUGCACUGAUGCAUGAUGAUAAAACUUUGUCAGAAUCUGAACAAAACAUAGUGAUUGUUUCCCUCACCUUGAUUUUAUGCUUUUUUUUAAAUUGAGUGGAUAGACAAAGCACAGUUCACUUUGUGUUAUUUUUCAGUCUCAUUGGCUGAUGGAUGUGAUUCUUAACUUGAACAAAUGUGAAGUUUUCUAAACCUUCCGUAAAGUGGCCUUUGUGAGUUACUUUGUGAGUUACAUCUGCAGGAGAAUGUUGUCUCUUUGGGGGAAUGGAAAAAUACUUUUUCAUCCUCUUUUUGACUGGAUAAAAUCUACUCACUAGGAGUGGUCAAAACUCUUGCCAAAAUGUUUUGGAGGUUGUGAGAAAGAAAGUCUUUGAACCACAUGAACAUUUUCAUAUCAUUUGAAAUUUUCCGGUUUAAGGUGAAACAAUGCAAAACUGGAAAAAAGAAAAAGAUAAAAUAAGUCUUUUUUUUUGUUUUGAUCUGAUUCUAAACAAAUAUUUUUUUCUUACUUAAUUGAAAUGAAACUUUUAGUUUUGAAUUGUUUUGUGGAAAAAUCAGAAAAUUACGUGGAAAGUGUUAAAUUCCCACUUUUUGACCAGCCCUGGAAUUCAGCUUUAACUUCACUUCCAGAUCUCAGUAAUGAAUGAAUUGGCAGCAGGCCCAAGAGAAAUAGUGGAAGCACCAUCAUUUGAACCUUUUACAACUGGACAGGCCAAGGUAGUUGACCGUAUACCGCAGGCAACUGUCCUACGGAGGCAGGGGAUAUGGACUAAGGUCACUCAAUAGGUCUUGCUUUCCUCGGGUUUCUAUUAUUCCGUGCUAAUAAGAGUGGGGCUAUUUUAAAAACGCUAAUUCAUUCAAAUUAGCUAUCUCAUUAGCUACUACAUAGCAACUCAUACUACUUUCUUGCGGGUAUGUUUACAUUGCACAUGAAAGGUGCGACUGUGACACGGGUAGGCAUAUUCAUGUUGGCUUUAAUCUAGAUUCAAAAUGGGUUACCAACCAGAGUAGUACCCAGGGUCCCUGGAGGGCUUGCACUCCAGUUGGUAGCCCAUGCCGAUGCCUGUGCCACCAGAUGUAUGCUGCUAUUGUUACGCUGGCUAGUUAGAUUACAUCUAACUUGGUGUGAUUGUAGCAAAGUAGGCAUACCCUUUAGUUUGCAGUGUAGACAUACCCUGAGGGGGUGGAUGUAUAAAUAGGACCACAUCCUCAGCUGGUGUAAAUCGGUAUAGCUCCAUUUAGGUCAAUAGAGUUAAGCCCGCUGAGACGCUAGCCUUUGGUGUGUAUUAUAGGCAGCUGGUAGCUUGUUGCCUGACACUGCCCAUUAUGAGCAAAGGUAUCAGCAAGUGAAAAUAGGGACUAAGUUUUACUGUUCGAGCUGAAAUUUGCCAUGCGCUGCCAACCUUAACUCCGGCGUUUCCUAACUUUUGAGUGCUUGACUUUGCAAACUUAAUAAUGUUCUUUUAAAAUGUAGGGGGUGUGUGUGAGAUACGUAAUUAUUAUUUAAUUAGCACCUUCAGUGUACUUGGCACUGUACAGUUAAAAACAAGAAGAAGAAUUAAACUCCCUGCCCUGACUGACAAUCUUACAGACUAAAAUCUGUAAUUCACACCCACCCUGCACCAUUCAGUGUGUCCGAAUAUAUGUAAAAUGCCUCACCCAAGUCCUGGCACUUUGCUUGCAGUAACUGAACUAGGCUUCGUUCUCCAUUGGCUCAUGUGUGCCUGGUCUGUGCUUUGAAUUCAGGUUGUCAUGGCUACAUUGCUCAGGGAUGUGAAAAAUUCACAACCUUCGGCAUCAUCACUAGUCUGACCUAACCCCCACCCCCGCGUAGACGCAGCUACGUUGACUGACGAAGGCUUCCUACCAUCUAGCUACCAUCGAUCGGAGAGGCGGUAUUCCUACCUUUCCAUCACUGUAGGAUGCGUCUAUGGGGUUGUCCCAACAUAGCUGUGGUGCUGUAGCUAUGCCAUUAUAGUUCUCAGCGUGUAGACAAGGAUCUGUAAUAUCCUAUACGAGUCCUGGCCCUUGUCCUGCUGUAGCUGAACGAGAUUCAUUCUCCAUUGUGACUGUUCUGGCAACCUUUCCUUGUCCCUGUCAAAGCAGUCCUUUUUUCAGUCUCUUUGGCACACCGCAGGCAAGCAGCACUUACGCUUCCUGAUAGCCCGCGAUGUUUUAUUUUUGGCAGUUGUCAGGUAGAUGGAAGUAUUAUCCUGAUGUUUCAGCCUCCGAGAUCAUCUUUGGGGACACCUCUAGCCAAGGUCUGGAAUGGUCGAAAUAUCUGCUUGUUUCUUUCCACCUGAUACAAAUAAGCCCUUUGAAGGGCAGAUACAAGAGAGGGUUCUAGCCCUCCUGUACCUGAUAGCUUCUGGGCUGCUUCUCCUCUCAGGCUGGUGCCCAUUGAAGGUCCCAGUUACUGGGGUUUUGAGCACUUCACAAUCUUUAAUGUACUUCUCACCACCACACCCUGUGAGAUAGGGCAGUGCUAUUAUCCCCAUGGGAAACUGAGACACAGAGAAGCUAAGUGGCUUGCCCAAGAUGUCUGGUGCAGAGCAGAAAUUGAACCUAUGUCUCCCAAAUUCUAAGACAGCUCUUAACCACUGGACCACAUUCCCUGUCCUAAGCCAAGAGUACUAUUGAAAUGAAUGGGGUUACACCAGGUUUGUCUCAGCAGAACCGUGCCUCUCUCUAGAUAUCCCACACCCCCUCAGAGACAUGCUUCCCAAAAGUGGGCUGUUCUCAAGCAGUGAACAGUGAAAUACUGCACAGAUUGCCUAGGGCAUGAUGCAGCAGAGCAAGGGACCUAUAAGGAGAAUGUGGGGGUGUUUGCAUCAGGGGCAAGUGAAGUCAUGCGAGGUUGUGAACAGUCCCUGAGCAGCUCCACCACGGGGUCUUAUCGGUGUGAAUUUGUCAGGUGUAACAAGCUGUAUGUUUAUGUGCCACUAGGUGCCUCUCUCUACUUCAAAGCUGGAACAAUCUGCCCUGGAACAGGCUGACCUUUGGCAUAAAUAUUUCUUUUUUCCUAACUCAGGGGUGCUUGACCGAAGAAUUGAGGAAAGCUGAAGCAGUCUUGGUUUUUUGUCCACUUUCUUUGACAACGUAACAAGGCUGCUGUUUUCCUCCUGGCACGACGUGAGAGAUCAGUGUUUCCACUGGCGCAAACGCCCAGGCUGGUGGUGAUCACACCUUAACCUUAAUACAAGAAACACAAAGUCUCGUUUCAGAUACAUAGAAACCAGAGUGAUUUCACCCUGUGUCUGUGUGAAAUUGUACAUUCUGGGGAAUAAAUAAUGUGUAAUCCGAUCAGGCUAAGAUCACAGAUGAAUGAAUAUUCAUUGCCUUUUAAUAUGAACCCAGGGCUUAAUUUGUAACGAGGGGCCAGGGCUCAAACAGAGCGUGCUGCCUGGAGGAUGCCAUUUUGCAGAGCAGGCUGCUUCGCCCUCAACGACAUGACCUCGAAUUCAUGGUGCAUGGAGGCUGAUGUGACAGAAGAGGUAGCUCUGGCAAAAAUUAAGCUCUGCUCAAACACUUGUUUCAAGGUGGACAGCUCAUGGGGAUGGGAGCCAGAACUCCUGGCUUCUGUUCCUGACUUUUCCACUGACUCAUUUGGUGACUUUGGCCGUGUUACUUUGAGUAACAUUUUCAAAAGUGUCUAAGUGAUCUAGGAGCCUGGGUAUAAUUUUCAAAAGGGAUUUAGGCACCAUGUCUCAUUGAAAGUCAAUGAAAGAUGUACACACUUUUGAAAAUGUUAUCCUAUCUCUCCCUUCCCACAAUUAAAUUAGGUUCAGUUGUUUGUAAAAACAUAUUGAGAUCAACAUAUACAAGGUGCUACAUAAGUGCUGUAUUUAGAUUUAUAAAUGAAGAGUGCGUGAAGUUUGCUGUUACAGUUAAUGUCCACUUUGGAGAAUUUCAGUCUUAUCCAUUUAUAAGCUGAGGAAGGAAAAUGAGUGACUUAAAAAAAGAAGGUAAGUAUAUUUGAUCAAGCUUGUUUGGUUUCUGUUCUGGCAACUUCUGAAUAAAGUGCGCUUGUGUUUGUGCCAGA